rnacentral:rRNA from 1 species
ACUCCUGCGGGAGGCAGCAGUGGGGAAUUUUGGACAAUGGGCGAAAGCCUGAUCCAGCAAUGCCGCGUGCAGGAUGAAGGCCUUCGGGUUGUAAACUGCUUUUGUACGGAACGAAAAAGCUUCUUCUAAUACAGGGGGCCCAUGACGGUACCGUAAGAAUAAGCACCGGCUAACUACGUGCCAGCAGCCGCGGUAAUACGUAGGGUGCGAGCGUUAAUCGGAAUUACUGGGCGUAAAGCGUGCGCAGGCGGUUAUGUAAGACAGAUGUGAAAUCCCCGGGCUCAACCUGGGAACUGCAUUUGUGACUGCAUGGCUAGAGUACGGUAGAGGGGGAUGGAAUUCCGCGUGUAGCAGUGAAAUGCGUAGAUAUGCGGAGGAACACCGAUGGCGAAGGCAAUCCCCUGGACCUGUACUGACGCUCAUGCACGAAAGCGUGGGGAGCAAACAGGAUUAGAAACCCUUGUAGUCCCAUGA